GUCUACAGCCAUGCUGCCCUGAACAAGCCCAAUCCUGACAGAUCUUGGAAGCUAAGCAGGGUUGGGCCUGGUUAGUACUUAGAUGAGAGACCACCUAGGAAGACCAGGUGCUGUAGGGG
ensembl:rRNA 5S_rRNA 5S ribosomal RNA